GUACAUUUUUUUUUUUUUUGGUCUAAAACAUAUCACUUUAUUCCUUUAUAGAUCAAAAUAAUUUUUUUUUUCCUUGUCUUAACCAGAAUCGCAUUGUUCUACAAUCUAUAUUAUAGAUAGGAAGAUAUCCAUAUUUUAGAUCAAUGCUGAUCCUGCUUUCCAAAAUUCAUUGUUAUUUUCAAUUUUUCUUUAAAUAUCAUUUAAUAAAAUACGAUAAUGAAAAGUCCACAGGCUGCAUUUGCAUUAGUUAUUGAUGAGAAAAUUGAGUUGUGCUCUGGAAGAUGACAUAAAGCUUCAGUUCUUGGCAUCUGUUCUGAUGGGAAGGCACUAGUAUGAUCGUUUUGCUUCCUUCCCAAUUGGACUCUGUUUCGAAUUAUCUUAUUUGGAAUUGAAUUCCAAAUCAAUAGAGUCCUUAAAAGUGCAAAACUAUGUAUGAAUUUUUUUUUAGUUCGGUUUUGUGCUUUGAAAACUGGUAAGAAGGUUAGUGAUAGAAGGACCUUGCAGAACCACCCAAGUCAUAGGUGUUGUUGGAAUGAUUUAAGAAGCUGAUAUAACUGUUAGCAUCAAUGGGGUAGAAGGCAUGCAGGUCAGUAAAGUAUUUGAUUUCUGCUUGAAGCAGCUAUAACAGUAACAAUUUGACGUUUUCUUUCCCUUACUUUUAACCAUUCUGCUGCCAUUAUCUACUUUGACCCAAAAUUUUCUAUUAAUAUAAAGUGAUUAAUUUUUUGUAGUGCCAUUUUUCUUCUUAU
rnacentral:misc_RNA from 1 species